rnacentral:rRNA from 1 species
GACGAACGCUGGCGGCGUGCUUAACACAUGCAAGUCGAACGGAAAGGCCCUGCUUUUGUGGGGUGCUCGAGUGGCGAACGGGUGAGUAACACGUGAGUAACCUGCCCUUGACUUUGGGAUAACUUCAGGAAACUGGGGCUAAUACCGGAUAGGAGCUCCUGCUGCAUGGUGGGGGUUGGAAAGUUUCGGCGGUUGGGGAUGGACUCGCGGCUUAUCAGCUUGUUGGUGGGGUAGUGGUUUACCAAGGCUUUGACGGGUAGCCGGCCUGAGAGGGUGACCGGACACAUUGGGACUGAGAUACGGCCCAGACUACUACGGGAGGCAGCAGUGGGGAAUAUUGCACAAUGGGCGGAAGCAUGAUGCAGCAACGCCGCGUGCGGGAUGACGGCCUUCGGGUUGUAAACCGCUUUCGCCUGUGACGAAGCGUGAGUGACGGUAAUGGGUAAAGAAGCACCGGCUAACUACGUG